rnacentral:rRNA from 1 species
AACGAACGCUGGCGGCAGGCUUAACACAUGCAAGUCGAACGGAUCCUUCGGGAUUAGUGGCAGACGGGUGAGUAACGCGUGGGAACGUACCCUUUGCUACGGAAUAACUCAGGGAAACUUGAGCUAAUACCGUAUGUGCCCUACGGGGGAAAGAUUUAUCGGCAAAGGAUCGGCCCGCGUUGGAUCAGCUAGUUGGUGGGGUAAUGGCCUACCACGGCGACGAUCCAUAGCUGGUCUGAGAGGAUGAUCAGCCACACUGGGACUGAGACACGGCCCAGACUCCUACGGGAGGCAGCAGUGGGGAAUAUUGGACAAUGGGCGCAAGCCUGAUCCAGCCAUGCCGCGUGAGUGAUGAAGGUCUUAGGAUUGUAAAGCUCUUUCACCGGUGAAGAUAAUGACGGUAGCCGGAGAAGAAGCCCCGGCUAACUUCGUG